rnacentral:rRNA from 1 species
GACAAAACGGGUGAAAAACCCGUUCGCCGAAAGACCAAGGGUUCCAGUCCAACGUUAAUCGGGGCUGGGUGAGUCGACCCCUAAGGCGAGGCCGAAAGGCGUAGUCGAUGGGAAAAUGGUUAAUAUUCCAUUACUUCUGUGUAAUGCGAUGAGAGGACGGAGAAGGCUAAAUCAGCCUGGCGUUGGUUGUCCAGGUGAAAGGAUGUAGGCAUGUAUCUUAGGCAAAUCCGGGGUACUCUAUGCUGAGAUCUGAUAGCAAGCUGUACUUGUACAGCGAAGUGGUUGAUGCCAUGCUUCCAGGAAAAGUCUCUAAGCUUCAGUUACACAGGAAUCGUACCCGAAACCGACACAGGUGGUCAGGUCGAGUAGACCAAGGCGCUUGAGAGAACUCUGCUGAAGGAACUAGGCAAAAUGGUACCGUAACUUCGGGAGAAGGUACGCUGUUGUUGGUGAUGGAACUCGCUUCCUGAGCUGACGACAGCCGCAGAAACCAGGCCGCUGCAACUGUUUAUUAAAAACAUAGCACUCUGCAAACACGAAAGUGGACGUAUAGGGUGUGAUGCCUGCCCGGUGCUGGAAGGUUAAUUGAUGGGGUUAGCGUAAGCGAAGCUCUUGAUCGAAGCCCCAGUAAACGGCGGCCGUAACUAUAACGGUCCUAAGGUAGCGAAAUUCCUUGUCGGGUAAGUUCCGACCUGCACGAAUGGCAUAAUGAUGGCGGCGCUGUCUCCAGCAGAGGCUCAGUGAAAUCGAAAUCGCUGUGAAGAUGCAGUGUACCCGCGGCUAGACGGAAAGACCCCGUGAACCUUUACUGCAGCUUGACACUGAACUUUGACCUUACUUGUGUAGGAUAGGUGGGAGGCUUUGAAGCUGGAACGCUAGUUCCAGUGGAGCCGUCCUUGAAAUACCACCCUGGUAAUGUUGAGGUUCUAACUCUGUCCCGUGAUCCGGGACGAGGACCGUGUCUGGUGGGUAGUUUGACUGGGGCGGUCUCCUCCUAAAGAGUAACGGAGGAGUACGAAGGUGCGCUCAGCGUGGUCGGAAAUCACGCGUAGAGUAUAAAGGCAAAAGCGCGCUUAACUGCGAGACCCACAAGUCGAGCAGGUACGAAAGUAGGUCUUAGUGAUCCGGUGGUUCUGUAUGGAAGGGCCAUCGCUCAACGGAUAAAAGGUACUCUGGGGAUAACAGGCUGAUACCGCCCAAGAGUUCAUAUCGACGGCGGUGUUUGGCACCUCGAUGUCGGCUCAUCUCAUCCUGGGGCUGAAGCAGGUCCCAAGGGUAUGGCUGUUCGCCAUUUAAAGAGGUACGCGAGCUGGGUUUAGAACGUCGUGAGACAGUUCGGUCCCUAUCUACCGUGGGCGCUGGAAAUUUGAGAGGAUCUGCUCCUAGUACGAGAGGACCAGAGUGGACGAACCUCUGGUGUACCGGUUGUGACGCCAGUCGCAUCGCCGGGUAGCUAUGUUCGGAAGGGAUAACCGCUGAAAGCAUCUAAGCGGGAAGCCUACCUCAAGAUAAGAUUUCCCUAGGACUUUAUGUCCUCUAAAGAGCCGUUCGAGACUAGGACGUUGAUAGGUUGGAUGUGGAAGCAUAGUGAUAUGUGAAGCUGACCAAUACUAAUUGCUCGUGAGGCUUGACUA